GAUGAAGAACGCAGCGAAAUGCGAUAAGUAAUGUGAAUUGCAGAAUUCAGUGAAUCAUCGAGUCUUUGAACGCACAUUGCGCCCCCUGGUAUUCCGGGGGGCAUGCCUGUCCGAGCGUCAUUGCUGCCCUCAAGCACGGCUUGUGUGUUGGGCCCCGUCCCCUCCCCCGGGGACGGGCCCGAAAGGCAGCGGCGGCACCGCGUCCGAUCCUCGAGCGUAUUGGGCUUUGUCACCCGCUCUGUAGGCCCGGCCGGCGCCAGCCGACACCCAACUUUUAUUUCUAAGGUUGACCUCGGAUCAGGUAGGGAUACCCGCUGAACUUAAGCAUAUCAAUAAGCGGAGGA
rnacentral:misc_RNA from 1 species